rnacentral:rRNA from 1 species
UACGUAGGGGGCCAGCGUUGCUCGGAAUUACUGGGCGUAAAGGGUUCGUAGGCGGUGUGGCAAGUCGGAAGUGAAACCUCCAGGCUUAACUUGGAGACUGCUCCCGAAACUGCCAUGCUAGAGUGCGAGAGAGGCCAGUGGGAUUGCAGGUGUAGCGGUGAAAUGCGUAGAUAUCUGCAGGAACACCCGUGGCGAAGGCGGCUGGCUGGAUCGCAACUGACGCUGAGGAACGAAAGCUAGGGGAGCAAACAGG